CUUUUCGAGGUAGGAGUCGACUCCUGUGAGGUAUGGUGCUGGGUGCAGAUGCAGUGUGGCUCUGGAUAGCACCUUAUGGACAGUUGUGUCCCCAAGGAAGGAUGAGAAUAGCUACUGAAGUCCUAAAGAGCAAGCCUAACUCAAGCCAUUGGCACACAGGCAUUAGACAGAAAGCUGGAAGUUGAAAUGGUGGAGUCCAACUUGCCUGGACCAGCUUAAUGGUUCUGCUCCUGGUAACGUUUUUAUCCAUGGAUGACUUGCUUGGGUAUGGAGAGUCGGCUUGACUACACUGUGUGGAGCAAGUUUUAAAGAAGCAAAGGACUCAGAAUUCAUGAUUGAAGAAAUGCAGGGUUUUUAAUGACCACAACAAGCAAGCAUGCAGCUUACUGCUUGAAAGGGUCUUGCCUCACCCAAGCUAGAGUGCAGUGGCCUUUGAAGCUUACUACAGCCUCAAACUUCUGGGCUCAAGUGAUCCUCAGCCUCCCAGUGGUCUUUGUAGACUGCCUGAUGGAGUCUCAUGGCACAAGAAGAUUAAAACAGUGUCUCCAAUUUUAAUAAAUUUUUGCAAUCCA
rnacentral:lncRNA from 1 species